GGGGAGGUUUGCAAACCCAUAUAUGUAAUACCCAAGACCUCCCAGCAGAAUCAACGUGAGACACAUCAUCAAAUAGAGUACUUAAAAUUGUUUUCAGAUAAUCUAAAUUCAGUGCAUCAAAAUUUUCUUUCUUAUUUUCCCAUUAUAUUUUGAGGUUGCAUUUUGAGUUGUUCAACGCAUUGCUGGAGUUCAGCAUCCAAAGGCCAUAAUAGAUAUUGGUUGCAUUGGCUCAUCUGCAAGGAUACUAAAAUCCAAAAUGUUUAAUGCUAUAAAUCAUAAUGAUUGCUACCAUCCCCUAUAACAGAUUCAUUUGUGAUAAGGAUGAUAUCACUUGCAUGAUAUCCUGAUUAUACUUUAUCUAGUUAAUUUCCAAAGGAUAUCAGUGUCCCAUAAUCACUAAAGCUAAUAUUAAAUAGCCAUACAUGUCAAGAAGUAAAAACCAAGAAAUUGUAAUGACAAAGUCAAAUCAAGCUGUCAAACAAGAGAUAGAAUUAACCGAUUCCCCACUAAAGUUCAUGUAUGCCUGAGGUUUUGCUAUCAGAAUUGGAACCUCUUUGAUGCAACCUGUACUCAUUACAUAAAGAAUCAAAAUAAAUGAUCAAGCCCAUACCAAACAAACAAAAAAGGGAAUAAAACAUAAAUAGAAACUAGCAAAGAACAUUCAACUUAACAACCUAUUCCAAUCAGAGCCUUUGAUUGAAUUUUGUUCAUCACAACACCUUCUGCUUGAGCAAUUUGAUCAACCGUUUCAAAACCAACCUGACAUGAGAAUCUACCCAAUUCAAAAAUACAGCACAGGACACAACAAAGAUUAGCAUAAUACAUGCAUUUGAUUACAUUGUGCCUAGUGCCAUGGUACUUAACCCAAUCCAACAAUUAGCCAAGGGGUAUACUCUACUUUAACCCCGUUGCUGUUAUCUGGCAAUGAAGCACGUACAGACAACCUAGUGGAAACUAAAUGCCUUUGCUGAAAGAGAGAACUUCUUGGACAGGAAAUGAAAGGUUUUGGGGUAGAGACUGCAUACAACAUUGACCCAGAUUUGAAACUCUAGAGAGUCGAUAAAAGAGGAACAGAACAGACGUCCUCUACGUUUGAUACACUUGAAUUUGUAGAAGAAAAUUGAUUGAGAUAGUGAGAGAGAAGUGACAGAGCUGAAAACCUGAAAUUUUGAGAGCUGUUGGACAGCAACAGCAAGUCGCAGCCGGUUGGAGAAGGAGAUACUUUCCAAAAAAAAAAAACUUUGCACAGAUAUUUGGGCUGUGACUGUGUUCGGGUACAGUAG
rnacentral:misc_RNA from 1 species